GACGAACGCUGGCGGCGUGCUUAACACAUGCAAGUCGAACGGAAAGGCCCUGCUUUUGUGGGGUGCUCGAGUGGCGAACGGGUGAGUAACACGUGAGUAACCUGCCCUUGACUUUGGGAUAACUUCAGGAAACUGGGGCUAAUACCGGAUAGGAGCUCCUGCUGCAUGGUGGGGGUUGGAAAGUUUCGGCGGUUGGGGAUGGACUCGCGGCUUAUCAGCUUGUUGGUGGGGUAGUGGCUUACCAAGGCUUUGACGGGUAGCCGGCCUGAGAGGGUGACCGGCCACAUGGGGACUGAGAUGCGGCCCAGACCCCCACGGGGGGCAGCAGGGGGGAAUAUUGCACAAGGGGCGGAAGCCUGAUGCAGCAACGCCGCGUGCGGGAGGACGGCCUUCGGGUUGUAAACCGCUUUCGCCUGUGACGAAGCGUGGGUGACGGGAAUGGGUAAAGAAGCACCGGCUAACUACGU
rnacentral:rRNA from 1 species